GUGGCGCGGCGGCAGCGACGCGGCCGCCUUUCCCGGGCGUGCGGGCGAGCGGUUGUCUGAGGCCCCGCGUCUAGGCGCUCCGUCGCGUACGUUCCGCGCGCACUCAGUCCACGGGGGCCACCCGGAGCCAACCCAGGCAGCUGUGCCUUCCCAGGCCCGGCCACCCCGGAGGCCGGGGCCGGGGCCGCGAUGGUUUGGGUCGGGGGCCGGAGGUGGAGCUGACCAAGGGCUGCUGAGAAGAGCCUGGCCGAGUCGGGGCCGAGCACGGAGCCCUUCCCCGCCCGUCGGCCCAGGGCUUCCCGCCCGCCGAUUUCCAGCCGUCAGGGUCACGCUACUCUCUGGGAGCCCUGAACUCCGUGCCCCCCAAGCCCCGGGCCCCCUCCGGGAAUGUUCAAAAAUGAGUACCAGGGUGGUGCAUUUGUUGAAGUCUUUAGUGCUCAGGGAAAAAAUCCUGGAGCAAACUGGAAGAUCCUUGGCAGUCCAUCUGUGAUUUGGAAAGAAUUUGAUAAAGAAGUUAAAAGUUUUGUGUUUGUCCUGGAAGGCAGCAGCCAAACAAAUAAAAUUCAGUUACCAAAGGAGAAUAAGCAAAUCCUUGGACUGAUCCAGAGGUUUCUUGUACUUCAGAUUUACAUACCCCUGGGACGAGACUUCUCCACCGAAUUGCUAAUUACUGAUUUAAGGAACAUAAAAAGAAGAUUGUAUUUAUCAACAGUCCAUAAAGAACUGUCCUCAACCCCUCUUCAUGCAAAAAUCCCACUCUUCAUGAUCAAGCGUAAAAUUUGGUGCAAUCUGUGCAUUGACUUGGUGGCAUUUACCAGUGAAAUAUUCAAAGGAGCAGUUUUCCAGUCACUGGAUGGAAUUAUUGUCUCAGCUAACUGUAAGCUACGGAAGAUCUUCACUUUAAAAUAUAAGCCUCAAGACACUGCUGAUAAAGAUGAUGAACCUACAGACAUUAUUCCACGAAGCUGCCAACUAACGACAGAUGUUCCACAAGUCACACAGCUGUUAAACAUGACUAAACUCCGCCAAACUGAAAUAAAAUCUGCAGGUCAUCCUCUAAGUUCAGCAGAAUCAGAUCAGUUCAUUAAUAGAGGAACAGGUAGCAUGCGGAGCAGUAAAAAUCAAGAUAUUUGUCAUAUUGCCUUUGGAUCCAAAGUUCUUGGACCACCUCCACUCUCUGGCAGAAGAAAUAACAUGAGGAUAUCCAGUGAGACAGUAAGAUCUGUUGGAUCCAAAAAUAACCGAUCGUGCCAGCAGUCUACAGUAGAGAAGUGUGUUAACAGUGCAGAAAUGUCAACCUUGCUAUUAUCUGAGUCUGAGGCACAAGGAGAUAAAGAAAAUAUUGGCCAAAUAAAGCAGACUAUACCUAUUCAUGCCAAUCUGCAUAUUAUGCAUCCACAUCCCCCUCAAGAACCAUCAGCUGAUAAGAAUAACAGGAGAAAAUUACGGUUAAAAAGAACCAGCAGAGAAAGGACAGAGACACCCAGCGGCAAUUCUUCAGGAAAUAACAGGAAUGAACAUAAAGCAACAACUGUCCUCACCACUGUGUCCCAAAAAAGAACAGAGACAUUCAACCCCAGCUCUCCAGCACCCCCGUCUCCUGAUCAAGCAGAUGAGUGGAUAUUUCCUGAAAAUGAUGACUACAUACCGCAUUUGGCCUCCAGCACGCAGUCUCUAAUGCUGGAUGGAGACUCCUGCCACACCUGUCACCUGUGGCUAGAAGCCAGCAAGGAAAGUGAACAUGACCAACAGAUGGAGGAAACCCAGAUUGUUUCAAAGGAUGUUUUCACUUUUUCAUCAAGACCACGAUCAGCACCUCAUGGAAAGACUCAGAAUAUGUCCCCAGAGGAAUGCCCAUUUAUUUUGGAUCUAAAAGAGGAUACCAGUGUGACAAGGAGAGACACCCAGCUGGAGGAUGAUUUUUAUGUUGGUGACAGCAGCGAAGAGGGUAACCACAGUAUCCAGGGUUCUCCAGGCCCAGCAACUAGUCCUCCAGGGUUAACUCAGUUAACAUUAGAGAGCUUGCUGGGGAAGACUGCAAGGUGGACAAGUAAAGGAUAUCUAAAAAAUGCCUACGCAGAAGCAGGAACAUCAGAAAACCAGAAUUCCUUGGUGAAGCAGAUAGAUAAAAAAGACUCUGAAAUGAGUUUGGUGCCUACGUCAUGCUUUUCUCCCCCUGGAAGAAGGAGUGAAUCCUCUCCAAAACUUUCAGAUUCUGUUAUCAAAGCAAAGGAUCUACCAGCCCAUCAAGUGUCAGCUUCAGUAAACAAAACCUCCCUACAGGAAAUUUCAGGGGAGAAGUUGAAACCGAUUCCUGAAGUAUCUGAAUAUGACUGGAGAAACUAUCAGCCCAGCCAGAUGAGUGAAUCUGAGUUGCAAAUGCUGGCAAGCCUACGGCGGCAACAAAAUGAAGAACUAGAGGACAGUGGGGCUCCCCAUGGCCUGAGCGCAUCCCAGGUUGACAACUGUAACGUCAGCAUAAGUACCAGCAGUGACGACACAACCACCUGGAACUCCUGCCUGCCACCCCCUGUCAACCAGGGUCAUCACUAUCAGAAGGAAAUGAAUCCACCUUCUCCUUCUAACCCUCGGGACUGGUUAACUAUGCUGAGCCCACCAAUUGUUCCUCCCAGUCAGCAGCCGGCAGAGCGGCGUCAGGGUUCUUCUGGAAGCUUGAGCGCUCAAGGAGCCUGUGCUAAAGAAGAGAGAGGAGUGUUGUCUUAUUCAUCUCCCCCUGAGGCUGCUCUGGUCCUCUCCUGCUGAGGGAGGUCUUGCCCUCCCAGCCUCCAAGCUCCUAUUACAUGGAUUUUGAGAAGUACUCCGAAGACACUCACUUGCUGGUGAUGGCGUCAAGUACGUAAGUAUUGAGCACAACACUGGGUACAUAUAAGGUGGUCAGGAAACAUCUUAGUAAAGCAUUGUUUUUCAUUCUGUGCCAUUUGUUGAAAACCAACCAAACUGUGCUAAUUACUUAGGCAGUAGGUGUUCUCUUCAUCCAAACCAUCUAAAUAGCUGUCACAAGGGGGAAAAAAAAAAAUCAAGCCAUGUUCAUCGUCCCAGCAAACUUGACAGAUCUUGCUACCACUAAUAAAAUUACAGAUCAUCUGACAUUGUUUUCCAUAUGUGUUCUAUGCUUUGUGUAUCUUAUAUUUCUAAACGUUAUUUUAAUUCAUGUUUAUUUGGUAUUUUUAGGUCAUAUGAAUGGGGAUUGAGCUCUUUAUUAUGUCAUUUAAUUUGCAUUGUUUGACAUUUGUGCAGCUCUGGCCCAUGAAGAAGUCUUGAGCUGUGAUAAUCAAAUUUUGAAUCCUGUUCAAGUAUCCUUAAUCCUAAUUAGCAUAACUCUUUAGUCCUUUGGCCCUCUUCCUUAAUCUUUUCUCCUCCCUGCCAGUCCUCCACACUCAUUUCUCCAGUGCUUUAUAGCAAACCUGGUCCCUGUGAUCACCAUUUCUUCUCUUACACUGCAAGUAUACAGUCAUCACAUCCACAGCGCUCCUCCAUUCCAGCACUGACGUCCUGCCCGCAUAAGGACAGUCUUCCAGGAGAGAUGGUGAAGAAGACCCGAGUGUGGAAGAGGAUGAGGAAGUGCUGACUCUGCUGUAUGACCCAUGUCUGAACUGUUACUUUGAUCCCCAGACUGGGAAAUACUACGAGUUGGUGUAAUGCCUCCUUCCAGGGCAAAGAAUGGCCACCCCAGGCGGAGCAGGAUAGCAGUUCUGACUCUGCUGAGUUGGCAUCACAGUGCGUGUGGUGGGCAGGCUCACGGAAUCAAAAGUAACUAAGAGAAACAAAGUUAGUUUGUACAUAACGUUCACUAUUAAGACUGCCUACCUUCUUUUUGUAGAUGGGUGUGAUUUUUUUGAAACUGUGAUGGAAUUAAUACAGAGACAAGAUUUUAGGACUUUGAAUUGGUUCUUAUUUGUUGGUUCUUAUCCUACAUAUAAUUUUGUUUAUUUCAUAUAAUUUUAUGUAAAUGAAUUGAGUUAUUCUGAUUUUUUGCAGUGUUAAUCUGUAAAUGAUGGCUUGACAUACAGAAAAUGUAUUCUUGUUUAAAAGAUAUUUGGGUACCUUUUAUUUUAUUACCUAUUUGUAUUAAAAAUAAAGUAUGAUGGUCAGAAGAAUACCUUUUAAACUGCUACUUUUUAUUUACUCCACUUUCUUUACCAGAAUAUUCCUAGACGGUAUUUACCUUUCCUUAGAUUCUUAAAAAAGGAAUUACUGUGAAUUAGUCAGAUUUUAUGAUCAUAUUUUAUUGGUACCAGCCCCGCUAUUUCCAUUUCAUUAUAUUUCAUCCAGAGUUUGUCAAAGAUCACAACAUUAUUAAUAACUUAAGCUGCUUAGCUCUGUGUUUUUUUUAAAUUUUUUUACCAAUUAUCUCUGAAUUCUAAUCAUAUGAUCCAAAUCUAGCUCCAUGGAUCCAAAUUUAAUAAGAAGUCACCCAUUUGAACACCCCACAUACCUCACCACUUCUGUGACUUGGACCUGGAGAAAUGGAGGAGGCUUCAUUUGGACUGUGUCACUAUAACUCUGCUCACUGCAUUAUAAGGAAAAAAAAUCACGUGCUUCCUGAGUUCGAGCAGACCAGCCUGGAAUUGUAUGCCAAGUAUAUAAAUAUUGAGCUCAAGGAAGUACUUAUUAUAUUAGCUGGCAUAUUUUGUUACUUAAUAAAGAUUUUUUAAUAAAGAAGAGUACCAUUGGAAAUGAAAAAUUAUUGGUGUACAGUUGGAUUUA